GACGAACGCUGGCGGCGUGCUUAACACAUGCAAGUCGAGCGGUAAGGCCCUUUCGGGGGUACACGAGCGGCGAACGGGUGAGUAACACGUGGGUGACCUGCCCUCAGCUCUGGGAUAAGCCCGGGAAACUGGGUCUAAUACCGGAUAUGACUCCAUGACGCAUGUUGUGGGGUGGAAAGCCUUGUGCGGCUGAGGAUGGGCCCGCGGCCUAUCAGCUUGUUGGUGGGGUGAUGGCCUACCAAGGCGACGACGGGUAGCCGGCCUGAGAGGGCGACCGGCCACACUGGGACUGAGAUACGGCCCAGACUCCUACGGGAGGCAGCAGUGGGGAAUCUUGCGCAAUGGGCGAAAGCCUGACGCAGCGACGCCGCGUGAGGGAUGACG
rnacentral:rRNA from 1 species